rnacentral:rRNA from 1 species
GACGAACGCUGGCGGCGCGCUUAACACAUGCAAGUCGAACGGAAAGGCCUGCUUUCCCUUGUGGAUUGCGGGUACUCGAGUGGCGAACGGGUGAGUAACACGUGAGUGAUCUGCCCCCAACUUGGGUAUAAGCCUGGGAAACUGGGUCUAAUUCCCGAUAGGACUGCAGGGUGGUGCCUGUGGUGGAAAACGAUUUUCUAGUGGUUGGGGAUGAGCUCGCGGCCUAUCAGCUUGUUGGUGGGGUAAUGGCCUACCAAGGCGGCGACGGGUAGCCGGCCUGAGAGGGUGGACGGCCACAUUGGGACUGAGAUACGGCCCAGACGCCUACGGGAGGCGGCAGUGGGGAAUAUUGCACAAUGGGCGGAAGCCUGAUGCAGCGACGCCGCGUGGGGGAUGACGGCCUUCGGGUUGUAAACUCCUUUCGACCGCGAGGAAGCCACCUGGUUGGAAGGGUGGUGACGGUAGUGGUAGAAGAAGCACCGGCUAACUACGUG